rnacentral:rRNA from 1 species
CCCAGUUCGGAUUGUAGUCUGCAACCCGACUACAUGAAGCUGGAAUCGCUAGUAAUCGCGGAUCAGAAUGCCGCGGUGAAUACGUUCCCGGGUCUUGUACACACCGCCCGUCACACCAUGGGAGUCGGAAAUGCCCGAAGUCUGUGACCCAACCUUAGGGAGGGAGCAGCCGAAGGCAGGUCGGAUGACUGGGGUGAAGUCGUAACAAGGUAUC